rnacentral:rRNA from 1 species
AACGGCCGCGGUACCCUAACCGUGCGAAGGUAGCGCAAUCACUUGUUCUUUAAAUGAGGACUAGUAUGAAUGGCAUCACGAGGGUUAUACUGUCUCCCUCUUUUAAUCAGUGAAACUGAUCUUCCCGUGAAGAAGCGGGAAUACAUCUAUAAGACGAGAAGACCCCAUGGAGCUUUAAACUCAGUAUCAACUGCCCUCCCAAUAUAUCCACCUAAUUAAGCAGACAUGACUACUAGUUUUCGGUUGGGGUGACCGCGGAGCAAAACAAAACCUCCACGAUGAAAGGAAUUAACCUCCUAAUCAAAGAGCUACAUCUCUAAGAAUCAACAAAUUGACAUUUAUUGAUCCAAUUUUUUGAUCAACGAACCAAGUUACCCUGGGGAUAACAGCGCAAUCCAUUUCAAGAGCCCCUAUCGACAAAUGGGUUUACGACCUCGAUGUUGGAUCAGGGUAUCCCAGUGGUGCAGCCGCUACUAAAGGUUCGUUUGUUCAACGAUUAAAACCCU